rnacentral:rRNA from 1 species
UACAGAGGUCCCAAGCGUUGUUCGGAUUCACUGGGCGUAAAGGGUGCGUAGGCGGUCGGGUAAGUCUGAUGUGAAAUCUCACAGCUUAACUGUGAAACUGCAUUGGAUACUAUCCGGCUUGAGGAAUGGAGGGGAGACUGGAAUACUUGGUGUAGCAGUGAAAUACGUAGAUAUCAAGUGGAACACCAGUGGCGAAGGCGAGUCUCUGGACAUUUCCUGACGCUGAGGCACGAAAGCCAUGGGAGCAAACGGG